GUGCUUGCUUUGGCAGCACAUAUACUAAAUUGGAAAGAUACAGAGAAGAUUAGCAUGGCCCUUGGAGCAAGGAUGAUAUGCAAAUUCGUGAAAUGUUCCAUAUUUUU